rnacentral:lncRNA from 1 species
UUCGGUUCUUUUUUUUCGGGUAUCGGAUCUAUUCGGAUAGGGGGUCAAGACCCAUUCGGGUAUUCUAAAAAUUCGGUUCGGGUUCGGUUCGGGUUCGGGUCGGUUCGGGUAUUUUAAUAAAAAAGCAAAAUACCCGAAAAUAACCAAAAAUACCCGGAAUAUUUUCGGGUUCGGGUCGGGUUCGGGUUUUUAACUCAUAUAUACCCAAAUCUAACCGAAAUACCCGAUUUCUCGAAAAUACAUUGGUUACUCUUUACCCAAAUAUAACCAAAAAUAUCUAAAAUACCUAAUAUAUUCGGAUUUAUGAUUGUAAUUUUAGGUAUUUCGGGUAUUAUAAAUAUAAAAAUAACUAAUAUUUUUAGGUGUAUAUUUGUAUUCGGGUAUAUUCGGGUACAUUCGGGUAUUGGAUUCGGUUCGGGUUCGGUUCGGGUUUUUUUCUGGUAGGAGGUUAGGACCCAUUCGGAUAUUUUUAAAAAUCGGGUUCGGGUUCGGUUCGGGUAUUGUUCGGGUUUUUCGGUUCGGGUAUUCGGUUCCGGGUAUUUUGC